rnacentral:rRNA from 1 species
UACAGAGGGGGCAAGCGUUGUUCGGAAUUACUGGGCGUAAAGGGCUCGUAGGCGGCCAACUAAGUCGGAUGUGAAAUCCCCAGGCUUAACCUGGGAACUGCAUCCGAUACUGGAUGGCUUGAAUCCGGGAGAGGGAUGCAGAAUUCCAGGUGUAGCGGUGGAAUGCGCAGAUAUCAGGAAGAACACCAACGGCGAAGGCAGCUCGCUGGGACGGUAUUGACGCUGAGGCGCGAAAGCGUGGGGAGCAAACAGG